CUGACACAAGGCUCUAUCUCAUAACCCUGUGAUCAUGACCUGAGCUGAAAUCCAGAGUUGGACUUAACCGACGGAGACACCCAGGCAUCAAGGACUUGGCAGAACUAAUACAAGAAGAAAAAAAUAAUGAGUUUGAGCCUCUGCUUUUGUUUGUGAAAUCCAUAUUUUAUAUUACAGUGGUUGCCAGGAGAGCUCUGAAGAGCUGACAAGCAUUAAAAAAUAAUAGAUGUAACCUUCACAAGAGCCCUUCUCCAAGAAUCCUUUCUUCUACACAAAGACAUUAUUAACUGUAUAGUUAAUCUGAAAUUGCAAGGAUUGCAAUAAGAAAGAUAACUGUCAACAUUUCCACUUCAGAAGCAAUGUUUCAUUUUCCUAUAUUUAAUCACAUAAUUUUAGGACCAUAUGGUGCAUGAAAAGUUAAGAAUGGGGAUUGGCUGAAGAAUUGCUCCUUCAAAUAUAACUUAGAGACCAUAGUUGGGCUGUUUUUGCCAUAAACAUCUCCAAUGAUAUAUGCCACAUACCAAGCUCUUAUAGCUAUAAAAUUCCUAAAUGUUAAUCUUCAUUGGUUAGGUACCAUGACAUUUCUUAUGAAUGAGUAAGAUAUAUUACUUGAUAUUAAUUAUAAAAUUUCUAGAGGGGUUUAAGAGAAAACAAGAUGAAAAUAUGUAAAGUGAAAAUGCCCAUAUAUAAGAUUGAUAUUUAAGAGGCUUGUGAUCUCGUAUAUUAAGCCAGGACUUUAGACCUAAAGCAAUACUAGAAGGGCCACAUGGCAGGGUUGAGUAUCUACAUCAGUCUUCUCGCUUUGUGUUUUCCUGGAAAUGGUCUCCUGCUAUUGUCUUUACCACUCCAAUGAUGACCCCAGCUGUUACUGAUAUAUAGCUUCUUUAACCCAUCAGGUGUAUAGUCUCUUACAGCAUAAGAUUCUUCAAAGAUAAGCUGUGUCCAGUAUAAAUGGGGAGAACAUCCCCUUGUCAACUUUUAUGUCUUUGAGACAAAGGACAGAUUUUAAAAAGUAGUGCUGCCUGUGACCCACAAUUGGACUGUUAUUAGUGAAAGAAGUUUUUGCAUGUUCUUCCUAUGGACCAUUUCUCUUUAGGGCUCAGUUAGAAGACCACAGUAACUCAUCUCUGAGUUUUAAUCUGAAACAAACACUGUGUAGUGCAAUGAACGUCUUUCCCACUUCUUUCACCUUAUACUUUCUCCCUCACCUUAUGGUCAUUCAGCUUCAGUUAGACUUAAGCCAUCUUUCCAAUGCCCACAGUAAGGUUUGGGCUUCACUUUCACUAUUUACAGACUGUCCUGGGGAAUGUGGUCUGGUCUAUUUGACAGAAAACUAACAUUUCAGCUAGGAUUAAUGAGUAUAUCAGACCUAGGGCAACAUUAUAAGGUUUUUACUUCUUCUAACUUUUAUCUAAAAAUGAAUUUUUAUGUGUUUUUCAGACUAAAGCUUUCUGAUUGAAUGUACGUGAAUUCAUAUCAAGCAAUCUCAGAAAAACUUUCAUUUUUAAUUUUCAAGUGCUUAUUCUUUUAUACAUUUGAGAUUUCUUUUCUAAUGUUGUAAAUAAACUACAGAAGUACUUGUCAAAAGAAAAAAAAUACAGUGCCAUUUGGAGAGAAAAGCUCAGGUCAAAUGCAUGAGUGUUUUCUAGCAGGUGGAUAUGUCAUGUUGACCUACUAGUGGAAUAAACUGCAAAAAGAUCUGUCUUAGGGGGUCCUGAGGGUCAUAUUCUAAAUUCUAUUAGGUUUUAAUCUGAUGGUCAUUUUUGAUCAAACAGUCAUUCCGAUUCUCAGUUGCUUCUUUUGUAAAAUGAAGAUAUUAACCCCACAUGAUCUGAUAUGCACAAUUAUUGGAAAUCAUUAAGAUCAUCACAGAUUAAAAUGAAGUGUUACAUGAA